CCCUCCCUCUGGCGGCAGGCCUAACACAUGCAAGUCGAGCGCCCCGCAAGGGGAGCGGCGGACGGGUGAGUAACGCGUGGGAACGUACCCUUUGCUACGGAAUAGCCUCGGGAAACUGGGAGUAAUACCGUAUGUGUCCUUCGGGAGAAAGAUUUAUCGGCAAGGGAUCGGCCCGCGUUGGAUUAGGUAGUUGGUGGGGUAAUGGCCUACCAAGCCGACGAUCCAUAGCUGGUUUGAGAGGAUGAUCAGCCACACUGGGACUGAGACACGGCCCAGACUCCUACGGGAGGCAGCAGUGGGGAAUCUUAGACAAUGGGCGCAAGCCUGAUCUAGCCAUGCCGCGUGAGCGAUGAAGGCCUUAGGGUUGUAAAGCUCUUUCAGGGGGGAAGUUAAUGACUGUACCCCCAGAAGAAGCCCCGGCUAACUCCGUG
rnacentral:rRNA from 1 species